rnacentral:rRNA from 1 species
UACGGAGGGUGCAAGCGUUAUCCGGAUUCACUGGGUUUAAAGGGCGCGUAGGCGGCGGCGUAAGUUCGUGGUGAAAUCCCAUCGGCUCAACCGUGGAAUUGCUUCGAAUACUGCGUCGCUCGAGGGAGAUAGGGGACCGCAGAACUGCCGGUGGAGCGGUGAAAUGUGUUGAUAUCGGCGGGAAUGCCAGUGCCGAAAGGGGCGGUCUGGACCUCUUCUGACGCUGAGGCGCGAAAGCUAGGGGAGCGAACGGG